rnacentral:rRNA from 1 species
AGAGUUUGAUCCUGGCUCAGGAUGAACGCUAGCUACAGGCUUAACACAUGCAAGUCGAGGGGCAUCAGGAAGAAAGCUUGCUUUCUUUGCUGGCGACCGGCGCACGGGUGAGUAACACGUAUCCAACCUGCCCUUUACUCGGGGAUAGCCUUUCGAAAGAAAGAUUAAUACCCGAUAGCAUAAUGAUUCCGCAUGGUUUCAUUAUUAAAGGAUUCCGGUAAAGGAUGGGGAUGCGUUCCAUUAGGUUGUUGGUGGGGUAACGGCCCACCAAGCCUUCGAUGGAUAGGGGUUCUGAGAGGAAGGUCCCCCACAUUGGAACUGAGACACGGUCCAAACUCCUACGGGAGGCAGCAGUGAGGAAUAUUGGUCAAUGGGCGCUAGCCUGAACCAGCCAAGUAGCGUGAAGGAUGAAGGCUCUAUGGGUCGUAAACUUCUUUUAUAUGGGAAUAAAGUUUUCCACGUGUGGAAUUUUGUAUGUACCAUAUGAAUAAGGAUCGGCUAACUCCGUGCCAGCAGCCGCGGUAAUACGGAGGAUCCGAGCGUUAUCCGGAUUUAUUGGGUUUAAAGGGAGCGUAGGUGGAUUGUUAAGUCAGUUGUGAAAGUUUGCGGCUCAACCGUAAAAUUGCAGUUGAAACUGGCAGUCUUGAGUACAGUAGAGGUGGGCGGAAUUCGUGGUGUAGCGGUGAAAUGCUUAGAUAUCACGAAGAACUCCGAUUGCGAAGGCAGCUCACUAGACUGCAACUGACACUGAUGCUCGAAAGUGUGGGUAUCAAACAGGAUUAGAUACCCUGGUAGUCCACACAGUAAACGAUGAAUACUCGCUGUUUGCGAUAUACAGUAAGCGGCCAAGCGAAAGCAUUAAGUAUUCCACCUGGGGAGUACGCCGGCAACGGUGAAACUCAAAGGAAU